GGUAUCGUGGCGCAAUGGUAGCGCGUUGGCUUCCGGAGCUGGUACUUGCCAAAGGCUGCAGGUUCGAGUCCUGCCGAUAUCG